UACAUGGGAUGCAAACGUUGCUCGGAAUUAUUGGGCGUAAAGCGCACGUAGGCGGUCCGUUAUGUCGGACGUGAAAGCCCACGGCUCAACCGUGGAAGUGCAUCCGAAACUGCAUGGCUGGAGUCUCGGAGAGGAAGGUGGAAUGCUUGGUGUAGAGGUGAAAUUCGUAGAUAUCAAGCAGAACACCUGCGGCGAAGGCGGCCUUCUGGACGAUGACUGACGCUGAGACGCGAAAGCGUGGGGAGCAAACGGG
rnacentral:rRNA from 1 species